AUACGGAGGGAGCAAGCGUUAUUCGGAAUCACUGGGCGUAAAGGACGCGUAGGCGGGUUUGUAAGUCAGGUGUGAAAUCCUACAGCUCAACUGUAGAACUGCACUUGAAACUACAGACCUAGAGUAUGGAAGGGGCAGAUGGAAUUAGUGGGGUAGGGGUAAAAUCCGUAGAUAUCACUAGGAAUACCGAAAGCGAAGGCGAUCUGCUGGGACAUUACUGACGCUGAGGCGUGAAAGCGUGGGGAGCAAACAGGAUUAGAUACCCCGGUAGUCC
rnacentral:rRNA from 1 species